GACGAACGCUGGCGGCGUGCUUAACACAUGCAAGUCGAACGGAAAGGCCCCUUUGGGGGUCCUCGAGUGGCGAACGGGUGCGUAACACGUGAGUAACCUUCCCUUGACUUCGGGAUAACUUCAGGAAACUGGGGCUAAUACCGGAUAGGAAUCCUUGCUGCAUGGGGGGGGUUGGAAAGCUUCGGCGGGUUUGGAUGGACUCGCGGCUUAUCAGCUUGUUGGUGGGGUAGUGGCUUACCAAGGCUUUGACGGGUAGCCGGACUGAGAGGGCGACCGGCGACAUUGAGACUGAGAGACGGCCCAGGCUCCUACGGGAGGCAGCAGUGGGGAAGAUUGAACAAUGGGCGGAAGGCUGAUGCAGCAGCGCCGCGGGCGGGAUGACGGCCUUCGGGUUGUAAACCGCUUUCAGCAGGGGCGAAGCUUGUGGUGACGGUACCUGCAGAAGAAGCACCGGCUAACUACGUG
rnacentral:rRNA from 1 species